UACGAAGGGAGCUAGCGUUGUUCGGAAUCACUGGGCGUAAAGCGCACGUAGGCGGAUUUGUCAGUCAGGGGUGAAAUCCCGGGGCUCAACCUCGGAACUGCCUUUGAUACAGCAAGUCUUGAGUUCGAGAGAGGUGGGUGGAAUUCCUAGUGUAGAGGUGAAAUUCGUAGAUAUUAGGAAGAACACCGGUGGCGAAGGCGGCCCACUGGUCCGGUACUGACGCUGAGGUGCGAAAGCGUGGGGAGCAAACAGG
rnacentral:rRNA from 1 species